GUGAUUCAAAUGAAUACCAAUGUCUACAUCUGAGUGAUUGGGAGUGCUGUGCGUGUGCAGAAGAAGAACAAUGUGCGCAAGACAUUGAGUGAAGUAAGUGGAUUCUCAUUCAAAGAGGUCAGACAUGCGCAUUUUCACUAAUAUCUAUGUCAUCAAUAGGCCGAGUUGCUGCAGAGGAAAGCCAAGUCUUGAUGACUCCAUCCCGUAUGUGACCAGUAAGUAAAUUGCUUUGUCCUGUAGAAGUUGACACUCAGCAGGGCGCCGUGAUGUAAGCUUGUCCCGAUAAUGUAACAAGCAUCCAUUGAAGAAAAAAAAACCCAUAACCUUGCCGAUUACCAGACACCCCGACAGCAUAACGCUGGGGUCCCAUGAAAUAUUCAAAUGUGAUAAGAAGAAGGUCGAGGUACAACUGGUUGUAUUUUAUUUUUUUUAAUUUGUUAAUGAAAAUGUCAGAUAUCUCUUUUGACUUGAUGACGAUAUCGUUGUGCAGCACCCACCUGGUGAUUUUUUUUUUUCCUCAUAUGUGAGGUCCCUAGGGAAAAAAAAAGUCAUUCAUGAGUAAACAAUGACUCUGGUUGCGCGUGUGUGUGUGUGUGUCUGGCUUUCCACCUUCUACUGUGAUCGACGAAGAGCCCUUUUAAAUCCAAUCCAAGCAGACUGUGACAAAAACAUGUCUGGAACAUGUGCAAGCUUUGUAGCAAAAGGUCCAGCCAGCGUGGUGGCUCUCAUCUGGAGCCCAUCAGGUUGCAUGUCCCCAGGCUCCCAGACUGGCAUCCCUGUACCAGACCUGCUCCUUUAUUAAAGCCUCAGCCUCCUGUGACCCGGCGCACACACAGCGGGCCUCGGGGUAAGCUCACACAUGGUUCCCAUAGGUCACUUGGCUUGUUUGCGACUUGCGCGUUUGAUUCUCUCACACGCCACAUGUGGAUAUGGAGUUGGAGAAACAUGGCGCGAGGGGCUCCCCCCCCACCCGGUAAACAUCUGCUUAACGAUAGCGUAUGCAGAAGAGGGGCUAACACAGAGUCCUGACACACGACUGGAACACGCUCGUUGUACACCGGGUUCACCAAGUAGUCAGUCGCCAGUCUCGAGUGUAUAAAAAUCCAGUGUUUGAUUUUUAAUACAGCACCAUCAUCCAUCAUGUAGGCCUGGAUCAGGAAAUCAUUUCUUGCCGAUUCUCAGGAACUUUGAAAUUCAACUCAAGGAGCUUUGUCUCCAAAGAAAGACUAAAAGCUGAAGCUGAGUUGAGACCAUCUGCAGAUCCCACUUAUAUUGCCACGUGUGUUUAUGCGGAGAAGAAUUUGCUUCUUAGCCACCCGAGAAAUCCCGCAAAGCUUGUGAGUAUGUUAACGUCUUUGCGAGGGAGGCCCGAGAGGACGACGUCGCGACGUGUCUGAACAAGAAAGCCCAGAGCAAGUCCCUUACAUUUUUACUAUUGUAUAUGUUCUUUUGUUAUUAUUUUUAUUAUUAUUAUUAAUAUUAUUAUUAUAUGUGAUUUAUUCUUUUACUUUAUGAUGAUUUGAUUUCAGUUUGAGAAAAUGAGGUGGAACAAACAAACAAGAACCCUUGCCAUUAGCUGCGACCCAAAUUGAUAUUUUACACCGAUUGUGGUUAUCACAGUGGGAAGGGAAGGGACGCCGCAAAGGAAGUGCUGAUAAGAUUGUUUUGUUUUCAUCCUCAGAUAAAGCACGGCACGCACAGUGGAGACCAGACCGCCGCUCUGGCCGUAGAUCGUUGAUGGACAUUAAAGCGGCCAGUAAAAAAGUGGCGGGAAAGUGAGCAAGAGUCCAGACGUCGACAUUAAAAGACACGAAGGUAUUCUGGAAAUCACAUCGGUGGACGUGGGAGUGGUGGCUAUCAAAGGGCUGCACAGCAACUACUAUCUGGCAAUCAGCAGGAAGGGAGAGCUCUACGGCGCG